UGAGCAGAGCCCUUGGAUUUGAUAGUA
rnacentral:piRNA from 1 species